rnacentral:rRNA from 1 species
AUUGAACGCUGGCGGCAGGCCUAACACAUGCAAGUCGAACGGUAACAGGAAGCAGCUUGUUGCUUCGCUGACGAGUGGCGGACGGGUGAGUAAUGUCUGGGAAACUGCCUGAUGGAGGGGGAUAACUACUGGAAACGGUAGCUAAUACCGCAUAACGUCGCAAGAACAAAGAGGGGGAACUUCGGGCCUCUUGCCAUCGGAUGUGCCCAGAUGGGAUUAGCUAGUAGGUGGGGUAACGGCUCACCUAGGCGACGAUCCCUAGCUGGUCUGAGAGGAUGACCAGCCACACUGGAACUGAGACACGGUCCAGACUCCUACGGGAGGCAGCAGUGGGGAAUAUUGCACAAUGGGCGCAAGCCUGAU